GUGGAAUACUUGUGUAAAGAGUAGAAAAGUCAAAUGUUUUAGUACUGUUACAAGAUGAAAGAGAUUUAGAUUGUAUGUACUCUAAAAGAUUUUUGGAAUUUUUAAGUAUCCACAUCUGAUUCACGCCACCUCUAGAAUAGGCAGUUUCACAAUAACUUUGAAGCCCGUCUUUGAUUGCUGAUAAAAUAGAUGUUAAUAAUUUAGAAAGAGGUUUCGUGGAGCACUUGGAAGACCCAGCAAUAUACCGUUGUUUGUAAGGACACUAAUGUAGUUUAGGUAUCCAAUACAGUGAUGGAAGAUCCAGUUCUUU
rnacentral:lncRNA from 1 species